AUUUUUUCUCUAAGACAAAGUUCAUCAGACUCAUGUAUUUUAGUGGUAAAGGAAAACUUCUUCAAAUUAUGCAAGUUGUUCAGAAAAUUGCUUAUUCUGCUCGUGUUUGUUAAUGCAGGUGAUUCGUUCUGUGUGAUUUAUGUCUUUUUUGUUGUUCUUUGUACUUUAUGUUUUCUUUUUCGUGGUAUUUAUUAAAUCCGUGCAUAAAGUGUCAUCGUCUGAUAAUUACCUAACUUGCAGCCCAAAGCGGGUGGUAAACUCCAUCUAAGGCUAAAUACGGUCACGAGACCGAUAGCGAACAAGUACCGUGAGGGAAAGUUGAAAAGCACUUUGGAGAGAGAGUUAAAAAGUACGUGAAACCGUCGAGAGGCAAACGGGAGGGCCUGUCGGGUCGUUCGGUCGCUUUCAGGCGGGCCGGAGACCGGGUCGCGGGAUCGGGGACC
rnacentral:ncRNA from 1 species